rnacentral:rRNA from 2 species
UAGGACUCUCGGCAAUGGAUAUCUUGGCUCUUGCAUCGAUGAAGAGCGCAGCGAAAUGCGAUACGUGGUGCGAAUUGCAGAAUCCCGUGAACCAUCGAGUUUUUGAACGCAAGUUGCGCCUGAGGCCGUUGGUCGAGGGCACGUCCGCCUGGGCGUCAAGC